rnacentral:lncRNA from 9 species
GGACUCGGUUCGACCCCGUCUGGUGACCGGCGACGCUGGGCUGGGUUCGGCGCAGGGGGUCGGGAAGCACAAAGAAGUUAAGUACUUGCCCAAGUUCACACCAAGAUUUGAACCCAGGUAGUCUUACUUCAGAGACUACGUUUUUAUCCGUGGCCAUUGCCAACCUCAUGCUCAUUCAUUUGUGCUGGGACACUCAUGCUUUAUCCAUAGUACUUCUCCACCAGCAGUUUUGUAAAGAUCAGAGGAAGUGAUGAGCUCAGAGAGCAGAGUCGGGCACAAGAAGGAGGAUACUAUUGGGUGCCCAUCAGUUGCUGUGCCUGUUAUGGCUUAGACAAACAGAUAUUUGCCUGCCUUGAUCACUCACCAUACCUAGAGAAGUGGCUGGCACCUGCUAACAAUUGAAUAAAUGCAACUCGUGGAAUAAAUGAUGGCCAUGUCAUAAGCAGCCCUAAGGAGAGGCCCAGGUGGCAAGAAACUGAGGCUUCCAGUCCUCUGUACAUGAAUGAGCAUGGAUGGAGAUUCUCCAGCCUAGUCAGCCUUCGGGUGACUGAAGUCCUGGCAGACCUCCUAGCUGUAGUCUCUUGAGAGCUCUUGAGCCAGAGGCACCCAACUAAGCCACUCCUGGAUUUCUGAUACACAGAAACGCAGAGCCAUGCCUGGGACUCAAGUGGAGCAGCAGGAAAGGCAAGGGAACAGUCACCCAAGCACUGGAUGAGCCAGUGAUGUCAAAAGUCACAGCUGGAUUCCCUUAUCUCAAAUGUAUUUAUGUGUGCAAGUUACCUUCCUCCCAUAUAGGACCUUGUCUUCAGCUGGACUGGACCCCCAGGACCUGGGUGAGGGGAGAGUCUCGAGUCUGGAAUCUUCACCUGUGAGUAUGAUUGAGUUAUUCACUGAUUUAUCCUCCAAGUGAUUAUUUGCAUCCUGUUCUCUGGCAGCCCGCAUUGUUGUAGUUGAGUAGGGAGCAGCUUCCUAUUCCCUGCAACUGGAAAGCAGUUUAUAUACAUCAUACUUAUAAACAGAGCUCUUAACCGAUAGGCAUAGGGUGGCCCAAAGAAGGCAGAGAUUCCCCAGAAGGAGUAAGCUCCCCAUCCCAGGAGGUAUCCAAGCAGAGUCAGAGACCAAAUAAAAGAUUUCAUAAUCAAAUGGGGGGC